AUGGAGUACCAGGGACAGCAGCAGCACGGCCAGGCGACCAACCGCGUCGACGAGUACGGUAACCCGGUUGCCGGACAUGGCGUAGGCACCGGCAUGGGCGCGCACGGAGGCAGCGGCACCGGCGCUGCCACUGGUGGGCAUUUCCAGCCCACGAGGGAGGAGCACAAGGCCGGCGGGAUCCUGCAGCGCUCCGGCAGCUCGAGCUCCAGCUCGUCUGAGGAUGAUGGCAUGGGCGGGAGGAGGAAGAAGGGCAUCAAGGAUAAGAUCAAGGAGAAGCUCCCUGGUGGCCACGGUGACCAGCAGCACGCCGAUGGCACCUACGGACAGCAGGGUACUGGCAUGGCCGGCACCGGGGCACAUGGCUCCGCGGCCACAGGCGGUACCUACGGGCAGCCAGGACACACCGGAAUGACCGGUACUGGGACGCAUGUCACCGAUGGCGCCGGCGAAAAGAAGGGCAUCAUGGACAAGAUCAAGGAAAAGCUGCCCGGGCAGCACUGA
rnacentral:rRNA from 1 species